AGAGUUUGAUCCUGGCUCAGGAUGAACGCUGGCGGCGUGCUUAACACAUGCAAGUCGAGCGAGAAACUACAUGCAGACACUUCGGUAGAAGCGAGUAGCGGAAAGCGGCGGACGGGUGAGUAACGCGUAGGCAACCUGCCCUUCACAGAGGUAUAGCCUCGGGAAACCGGGAUUAAAACCACAUAAAAUCAUAGGUUCGCAUGAACCAAAGGUCAAAGAUUUAUCGGUGAAGGAUGGGCCUGCGUCUGAUUAGCUGGUUGGUAGGGUAAAAGCCUACCAAGGCGACGAUCAGUAGCCGACCUGAGAGGGUGAUCGGCCACAUUGGAACUGAGACACGGUCCAAACUCCUACGGGAGGCAGCAGUGGGGGAUAUUGCACAAUGGGGGAAACCCUGAUGCAGCAACGCCGCGUGAGGUAUGAAGGCCUUUGGGUUGUAAGCCUCUGUCCUAGGGGAAGAAAAAAAUGACGGUACCCGAGGAGGAAGCCCCGGCUAACUACGUGCCAGCAGCCGCGGUAAUACGUAGGGGGCAAGCGUUAUCCGGAAUUAUUGGGCGUAAAGAGUGCGUAGGUGGUCUACUAAGCGCGAGGUGAAAGGCAAUGGCUCAACCAUUGUUAGCCUUGCGAACUGGCAGACUUGAGUGCAAGAGAGGAAAGCGGAAUUCCUAGUGUAGCGGUGAAAUGCGCAGAUAUUAGGAGGAACACCGGCGGCGAAGGCGGCUUUCUGGAUUGUAACUGACACUGAGGCACGAAAGCGUGGGUAGCAAACAGGAUUAGAUACCCUGGUAGUCCACGCCGUAAACGAUGAGCACUAGGUGUCGGGACAUGAGUCUCGGUGCCGCAGUUAACGCAAUAAGUGCUCCGCCUGGGGAGUACGCACGCAAGUGUAAAACUCAAAGGAAUUGACGGGGACCCGCACAAGCAGCGGAGCAUGUGGUUUAAUUCGAAGCAACGCGAAGAACCUUACCAAGACUUGACAUCCCUCUGACGUACCCUUAAUCGGGUAUUUCUUCGGACAGAGGAGACAGGUGGUGCAUGGUUGUCGUCAGCUCGUGUCGUGAGAUGUUGGGUUAA
rnacentral:rRNA from 1 species